AUUCCUACGGGAGGCAGCAGUAGGGAAUCUUCCACAAUGGACGAAAGUCUGAUGGAGCAAUGCCGCGUGAGUGAAGAAGGUUUUCGGAUCGUAAAACUCUGUUGUUGAAGAAGAACAUAUGUGAGAGUAACUGUUCACGUACUGACGGUAUUCAACCAGAAAGCCACGGCUAACUACGUGCCAGCAGCCGCGGUAAUAAU
rnacentral:rRNA from 1 species